UACGUAGGGGGCUAGCGUUGUCCGGAAUCAUUGGGCGUAAAGAGCGUGUAGGCGGCCCGGUAAGUCCGCUGUAAAAGUCAAAGGCUCAACCUUUGAAUGUCAGUGGAUACUGCCGGGCUAGAGUCCGGAAGAGGCGAGUGGAACUCCUGGUGUAGCGGUGGAAUGCGCAGAUAUCAGGAGGAACACCGAUUGCGAAGGCAGCUCGCUGGGACGUCACUGACGCUGAGACGCGAAAGCGUGGGGAGCAAACAGG
rnacentral:rRNA from 1 species